AUGGCAGAGUUUGUGGUUGGGCCUCUGGUCUCCAUGUUGAAGGACAAGGCGUCUAGCUACCUGCUGGAGCAGUAUAAGGUGAUGGACGGCAUGGAGGAGCAGCGUGAGAUCCUCAAACGCAAGUUACCGGCCAUCUUGGACAUCAUCCAGGAUGCGGAGGAGAAAGGGGCUUACCGCCCCGGCAUACGUGCUUGGCUCGAAGCACUCAAGAAUGUCCCUUAUGAGGCUAACAAUGUCUUCGACGAGUUCAAGUACGAGGUGCUCCUGAGGCCAAGGAGAAGGGACACUACAAGAAGCUUGGCUUUGAUAUCUUAA
rnacentral:rRNA from 1 species